rnacentral:lncRNA from 1 species
CUAAAAGGGAAUGUUCCUUUUGUAAUGGUUUAAAUUUUCUCAAAGUACUUUAAGAUGGUUUGUAACCCAGCUGGAUGUGAAUUUAUGGUGCCUAAGAAAUACCACUUGAAUAUUAGCAAUGACAGUGUUAAGUUUCAAAAAAGAGCUUCUCAAAGUAGAUUAUUGUUCAUUUAUAGAAUGUUACAUGGUUAAAACCAGAAAGCACAUCACACUUUAGUCUUUAGUCCCAAGUCAACUGAGUCAUAAAACAACUUAAGAGGCUUUUCAUUAAAUGGAAAAAGAAGCUAUGCUCUUUUAGAAUAUGUGAGAAAGUUACCUAAUUAUGUUUGACUAUUAUAAUGGAUUUAAGUGAAAAAUAGUUUGAAAGCAGCUUCAGAGUUGGUGAUUCACAACAAAUCCAAAAGUAUUUUUUAAUUACUGGUGGUAAACAAUGACCUUCUCAGUGUUUUUCAGCAUUGCUGGGGGGUUCUGAACCCUCAGCAGAACUGAGGGGCUAAAGACUUGACCUGUCUUUGAUACACCCAAAUAUGCAGAACUAUCAGAUGGAACCUAAAAGAGCACCUCCUUUCUCUUUGGGGGGUGGGGGCGUGGCCAUCCCAAAAGGAGAAUUAACAUGAGUGUUUGAAGAGCUUCAUAAUAAGCAUAGGAAGAGCUCUGAGCAAGCACACACAGGAAAGCCAGCCUUACUUUAGGAUUUGAGGGGUAGACAGGAGGAAAUGAACAAUUUCAUUUUUACUUGUUCUAUCAUUAGUUCCCCCUUUUAAAUACCCUAAAACUACUUCAUCAUGAAAUGAACAACAAUGUGAUACGCUGAUCUGUCCAAAUGCAAGAAUCAUGGUAGCCUUCAGUGAGCUUUUGAUCUUGGUUGGUCACCCCAACAACUGCAGCUGUAGAUGAAUGUGUUUUUAUGUGCCUGGUUUCAGUGUUCAAAGGGAAAAAUAAACAUGUACAGUGAACACUUUAAACCACUUUGGAUGAAAGUUUUGUCAUGUUCCAGACUAUUUUCAAUCAACCUGGUCCACCGAGGAUUAGUGACCAGGUUUUCAGGAAAGGAUUAGUUUCUCUCUAGUAAAUGUCUGAAAGAUUUUAUUUUCUGAUAAAAGGCUGUUUGAAAAUACCCUCCUGAAAUAACUUGCUUAACUACAUAUAGAUUCAAGUGUGUCAAUAUUCUAUUUUGUAUAUUAAACAAAUGCUAUAUAAUGGGGACAAAUUAUAUUAUACUGUGUAUGGCAUUAUUAAGAAGC